rnacentral:rRNA from 1 species
UACGUAGGGUGCGAGCGUUAAUCGGAAUUACUGGGCGUAAAGUGUGCGCAGGCGGUCUGUUAAGUUUGACGUGAAAGCUCCCGGCUUAACUGGGAGAGGUCGUUGAAGACUGGCAGACUUGAGGCGAUGAGAGGGGUGUAGAAUUCCCGGUGUAGUGGUGGAAUGCGUAGAUAUCGGGGGGAAUACCAGUGGCGAAAGCGGCACCCUAGCGUUAGCCUGACGCUCAUGUGCGAAAGCGUGGGGAGCGAACGGG